rnacentral:rRNA from 1 species
CUGGCGGCGUGCCUAAUACAUGCAAGUCGAACGGAGCACUCGGUGCUUAGUGGCGAACGGGUGAGUAAUAUAUGAACAACCACCCCUUGACCGGGAUAACACACUGAAAAGCGUGCUAAUACCGGAUAGGCGAUCGAGAGGCAUCUCUUGAUUAUUAAAGGAGCGCAUGCUCCACAUUGGGAUGGGUUCAUAUCGCAUUAGCUAGUUGGUGAGGUAACGGCCCACCAAGGCGAUGAUGCGUAGCCGAUCUGAGAGGAUGACCGGCCACAUUGGGACUGAGACACGGCCCAGACUCCUACGGGAGGCAGCAGUAGGGAAUUUUCGGCAAUGGGCGCAAGCCUGACCGAGCAACGCCGCGUGAACGAUGAAGGUCUUUAAUGGAUUGUAAAGUUCUGUUACGAGGGAAGAACAGCACUGAUAGGAAAUGAUCAGUGUGUUGACGGUACCUCGCCAGAAAGCCACGGCUAACUACGUGCCAGCCGCCGC